GGGAAUAUUGCACAAUGGGCGCAAGCCUGAUGCAGCCAUGCCGCGUGUAUGAAGAAGGCCUUCGGGUUGUAAAGUACUUUCAGCGGGGAGGAAGGGAGUAAAGUUAAUACCUUUGCUCAUUGACGUUACCCGCAGAAGAAGCACCGGCUAACUCCGUGCCAGCAGCCGCGGUAAUACGGAGGGUGCAAGCGUUAAUCGGAAUUACUGGGCGUAAAGCGCACGCAGGCGGUUUGUUAAGUCAGAUGUGAAAUCCCCGGGCUCAACCUGGGAACUGCAUCUGAUACUGGCAAGCUUGAGUCUCGUAGAGGGGGGUAGAAUUCCAGGUGUAGCGGUGAAAUGCGUAGAGAUCUGGAGGAAUACCGGUGGCGAAGGCGGCCCCCUGGACGAAGACUGACGCUCAGGUGCGAAAGCGUGGGGAGCAAACAGGAUUAGAUACCCUG
rnacentral:rRNA from 1 species